rnacentral:rRNA from 1 species
UGGCUGCAGCAAGGAAUAUUGUGCAAUGGGCGAAAGCCUGACACAGCGACGCCGCGUGGGGGAAGACGGCCUUCGGGUUGUAAACCCCUUUUCUCAGGGAAGAAUAAUGACGGUACCUGAGGAAUAAGUCUCGGCUAAAUACGUGCCAGCAGCCGCGGUAAUACGUAUGAGGCAAGCGUUAUCCGGAUUUACUGGGCGUAAAGAGGGCGUAGGCGGCUUUUCAAGUCGGAUGUAAAAUCUCCCGGCUUAACUGGGAGGGACCAUUCGAUACUGCUGGGCUAGAGUGCAGCAGAGGAAGGCGGAAUUCCCGGUGUAGUGGUGAUAUGCGUAGAUAUCGGGAGGAACACCAGUGGCGAAAGCGGCCUUCUAGGCUGUAACUGACGCUGAGGCCCGUAAGCGUGGGGAGCAAACAGGAUUAGAUACCCCUGUAGUC